rnacentral:lncRNA from 1 species
AGUAUUCUGAAAAGGAGGACAAAUAUGAAGAAGAAAUUAAACUUCUGUCUGACAAACUGAAAGAGGCUGAGACCCGUGCUGAAUUUGCAGAGAGAACGGUUGCAAAACUGGAAAAGACAAUUGAUGACCUGGAAGAGAAACUUGCCCAGGCCAAAGAAGAGAACGUGGGCUUACAUCAGACACUGGAUCAGACACUAAACGAACUUAACUGUAUAUAAGCAAAACAGAAGAGUCUUGUUCCAACAGAAACUCUGGAGCUCCGUGGGUCUUUCUCUUCUCUUGUAAGAAGUUCCUUUUGUUAUUGCCAUCUUCGCUUUGCUGGAAAUGUCAAGCAAAUUAUGAAUACAUGACCAAAUAUUUUGUAUCGGAGAAGCUUUGAGCACCAGUUAAAUCUCAUUCCUUCCCUUUUUUUUUCAAAUGGCACCAGCUUUUUCAGCUCUCUUAUUUUUUCCUUAAGUAGCAUUUAUUCCUAAGGUAGGCAGGGUAUUUCCUAGUAAGCAUACUUUCUUAAGACGGAGGCCAUUUGGUUCCUGGGAGAAUAGGCAGCCCCACACUUUGAAGAAUACAGACCCCAGUAUCUAGUCGUGGAUAUAAUUAAAACGCUGAAGACCAUAACCUUUUGGGUCAACUGUUGGUCAAACUAUAGGAGAGACCAGGGACCAUCACAUGGGUAGGGAUUUUCCAUCCAGAGCCAAUAAAAGGACUGGUGGGGGCCGGGGGUGGCUAUUGUGGGAAGUCAUAACCCACAGAUAGAUCAACCUAAGAAUCCUGGCCCUUCUCCACUCUCCACCAUGCAGGACAAACAUCUUCUCAAGCAGUCAACGUAGAAUGCUUGGGAAAUAGUCAUAAUUACCCACAUAUAGUAAUUAAUAGAUGGUAAUUAAUUGAUCCUUGAUGUGAUGUUCUUUUGCAUAUUUCCUUCAUUCUAAAGUUGUUCCCUGGCCGGGAGCGUUGGCUUUCGCCUGUAAUCCCAACACUUUGGGAGGCCAGGACAGAUCACUUGAGGUCAGGAGUUCGAGACCAGCCCAGCCAACAUGGCGAAACCAUGUCUCUACUAAAAAUACAAAAAUUAUGGUGACGCCUGCCUGUAGUCCCAGCUACUCGGGAGGCUGAGGCAGGAGGAUCGCUUGAACCCAGGAAGUGGAGACUGCAGUGAGCCGAUAUCGCACCACAGCGCUCCAGCCUGGUCGACAGAGUGAGACUCCAUCUC